GACGAACGCUGGCGGCGUGCUUAACACAUGCAAGUCGAACGGAAAGGCCCUGCUUGCCGGGUACUCGAGUGGCGAACGGGUGAGUAACACGUGGGUGAUCUGCCCUGCACUUCGGGAUAAGCCUGGGAAACUGGGUCUAAUACCGGAUAGGAGCCAUUUUUAGUGUGAUGGUUGGAAAGUUUUUUCGGUGUAGGAUGAGCUCGCGGCCUAUCAGCUUGUUGGUGGGGUAAUGGCCUACCAAGGCGGCGACGGGUAGCCGGCCUGAGAGGGUGGACGGCCACAUUGGGACUGAGAUACGGCCCAGACUCCUACGGGAGGCAGCAGUGGGGAAUAUUGUACAAUGGGCGCAAGCCUGAUGCAGCGACGCCGCGUGGGGGAUGACGGCCUUCGGGCUGUAAACUCCUUUCGCUAGGGACGAAGCUUUUUGUGACGGUACCUAGAUAAGAAGCACCGGCUAACUACGU
rnacentral:rRNA from 1 species